GGGUUGUGAGGUUAAGCGACUAAGCGUACACGGUGGAUGCCCUGGCAGUCAGAGGCGAUGAAGGACGUGCUAAUCUGCGAAAAGCGUCGGUAAGGUGAUAUGAACCGUUAUAACCGGCGAUGUCCGAAUGGGGAAACCCAGUGUGAUUCGUCACACUAUCGUUAACUGAAUACAUAGGUUAACGAGGCGAACCGGGGGAACUGAAACAUCUAAGUACCCCGAGGAAAAGAAAUCAACCGAGAUUCCCCCAGUAGCGGCGAGCGAACGGGGAGCAGCCCAGAGUCUGAAUCAGCUUGUGUGUUAGUGGAACGGUCUGGAAAGUCCGACGGUACAGGGUGAUAGUCCCGUACACCAAAAUGCACAGGCUGUGAACUCGAAGAGUAGGGCGGGACACGUGGUAUCCUGUCUGAAUAUGGGGGGACCAUCCUCCAAGGCUAAAUACUCCUGACUGACCGAUAGUGAACCAGUACCGUGAGGGAAAGGCGAAAAG
rnacentral:rRNA from 1 species